rnacentral:rRNA from 1 species
GUCCUAGCCGUAAACGAUGGACACUAGGUGUCGGUUCCGUCAGGAAUCGGUGCCGUAGCCAACGCGUUAAGUGUCCCACCUGAGGAGUACGGCCGCAAGGUUGAAACUCAAAGGAAUUGACGGGGCCAGCACAAGCGGUGGAACAUGUGGUUCAAUUCGAUGCUACGCGAAGAACCUUACCCAGGCUUGACAUGCUUGAAGUAGAAACCUGAAAGGGUGACGACUCGUAACCAGUCGAGAACUUGCACAGGUGCUGCAUGGCUGUCGU